rnacentral:rRNA from 1 species
AGAGUUUGAUCAUGGCUCAGAUGAACGCUGGCGGCAGGCUUAACACAUGCAAGUCGAGCGGGGGAAGGUAGCUUGCUACCGGACCUAGCGGCGGACGGGUGAGUAAUGCUUAGGAAUCUGCCUAUUAGUGGGGGACAACAUCUCGAAAGGGAUGCUAAUACCGCAUACGUCCUACGGGAGAAAGCAGGGGAUCUUCGGACCUUGCGCUAAUAGAUGAGCCUAAGUCGGAUUAGCUAGUUGGUGGGGUAAAGGCCUACCAAGGCGACGAUCUGUAGCGGGUCUGAGAGGAUGAUCCGCCACACUGGGACUGAGACACGGCCCAGACUCCUACGGGAGGCAGCAGUGGGGAAUAUUGGACAAUGGGGGGAACCCUGAUCCAGCCAUGCCGCGUGUGUGAAGAAGGCCUUAUGGUUGUAAAGCACUUUAAGCGAGGAGGAGGCUACUCUAGUUAAUACCUAGAGAUAGUGGACGUACUCGCAGAAUAAGCACCGCAC